UGAAGUUGCUUCCUGAGCAAGUUCUGCUAUCAUUUCUUCAUACGCCUCAUCUAUUUCUGGUUGUGAUUCUGCUAGGCCAAAGUUCCUUCUUUCUGCGAGGAUCCAAUCUCGAAAAAGCACUGAUUUUUCCAAGCUGUCUCGCAUCGACGCUCUAUGAUCACCUAUUUGUAGUUUUCCUUGACUAAAAGCGCUCUCCGAUGCAACAGU
rnacentral:lncRNA from 1 species